GGAGAUUCAUGCUGCCAAGUG
rnacentral:siRNA from 1 species